ensembl:lncRNA
CCGUGUCCCUGGACAAUUGUUACAGCUCUGGGAAAAAUCCAAGAGGCUGCCAUCUUGGUGAGCUAGUGCAAGCCAUCCACAAGGAGGGGAGGAGAACUAACCUUUGAUCAGACCUUUGAAAACAAGAUUCACACAAGUGCCUCCACAGACCUCAGCUUGGCAACCACAGGCCCCAACCCAGACACUGGAGCUAGGAUGGGCAUUUGGACUCAGAACAUUCACUGCCUCAGGGGACAGAUGACCUACCAGAAGUUAGAAGUUGGUUCUUGUCUUCUGAGUGUCAAAAACUGAUGUCUGUGUGUGUAUGUGUGGGAGCGGGGGUGGUGGUGAAAAGAACCAAAUAUUUGGAAGAUGCAGGAUGCUCCAAGUCCCCAGGCCAGAUGAUGCUUCCUCGGCUGAGGGAAGCUGGACAGGCCCUGGGCUGCUGCCGCCUCCUCUUACCCGCCCCUCCCCUUGCCCUGAAAGAUGAGGACCACUGUCCAUGUUCCCUGGGGAACUUGUCUUCUUGCAGUGCCCAUCGAAACUGGAACAGCUCUGAACAAAACAGACAAAGCUCCUGACCCCACGGAGCAUCCACUUUUGUGGAGGGAGAGAGACGCCAAACAGAUGAGCAGACUAAGGUCCAGAGUAAAGUGACUUGCCCACUCUCAGAGAGCUACUGGAAUAAUCAUUGCUAACAUAACAGAGAACCCUAACCCUGUGCCAGACGCUGUUCCCUCAAUACCAAUGAACACAUUUCCUUCUCUUGACAACUCCAAGAGCCAGGGAGGGGGCAGUGAUUACCCCCAGUUCACAGAUGGGGAAGCCCGAGGCCCAGACAGGUCAGCUAACCUGGUAAUAGUAGUGAUAAUUAUUUAUUGAGCACUAACUGUGUGCCAGAUGCCUUGCUAAGUGGUCCGAACAACAUAACACACUGCUCUGCCAUCUGGUGUGUGAUGAGUUCUUGCCACGUGGCAGGUACAUUGAGUCUUCCCAGCAAGUUCAUGUUAACGCUCUAUCACAAAGAGGGAUGCUCCUGGGGUCACAGGGCUGGUAUGCGACUGAGAUGGGUCCUAGUCCAGCUCCAGUCUGCAUCAAUGCUGUCUCCAGCCACCGCACAGCCAGGACUUGAGGCCAGAACUCUCUGCCCGUGUUUGGACCUCCUCUUCCUCCUCUCCCUGGCAUCCAGAGAGGGUCUGAUUCGGAAGAGAGAUUUCUUGUGGGUCAGUAGCUGCCUCCCACCUUCUCUGCCCGCAAAGAGAAGCUGCCAUGUUUGACGUUAAUUGACAAGGGAGGAGAGAGGCUACAAAAAAUGGGGAAGAAACCUCGUUACUUGGCAAAAGAAUUAAGUGGUUUUAGUGUCUUCACCACAUCCUCGGAUGUAGGGGGCUCGGUCCCUCACUGGUGUUUCCCACCACUUUUCCUCCAGAACUGGGAUAUGAAGCCCACUCAGUCAUACAAUAGACUGAGCAGACAGGGCGCCUUUUGACCCAGCAGGGAGGGAUAGGGCGCCUAGACCAAAAGUGCACCCUGAGUUCCCAUCAGACGUCACCACAAGGCCCUGCUCCACCGUGGCCUCGAUAAUACUUGUGCCCCUGGGCUAAUGUCAUUGCGGCCGCAGGCUGGCAUGAACAGUCGCAAACGGGUCUCCUUACAGGGAGAUUCCCUUGCAUAAUGAGAGGCCGUGGCCUGCUCCCGGCACGCAGAGAGGCCCUCUGGAAGAAGGCAAAGGCGAUGGGGGAGAAGACAGGAGAAGGAUAAACAAGAACCAAUUAAACCCUCAAUUCGAGCAGAGUAAAUGAAUUUGACUUUAGGUGAUCAAGAGGGAGAAAACUUCUAAUUAGACACACGGCAACCCUGGGGCUGAGCACGCUCGUGACUGCCCUCAUGCCUGCCUCUCGUCACUUUUUAGAUAAAUGUUAAGGAUUAGAAUGAGAUGUAAUUAGAAUCCGUCAAUCCCGUGCAUUCGCUCCUGGUGGGGUUUGACGUCUGCUCAUCUCCUUUCUCUUUUGUCUGGAGUGCUCAUCCCCCCUUCUCUCUUCUGAGCUCUGAUUGGCUCCUGUUACAGCCAAUCCCCC